rnacentral:rRNA from 1 species
UACGGGAGGCAGCAGUGGGGAAUAUUGCACAAUGGGCGCAAGCCUGAUGCAGCCAUGCCGCGUGUAUGAAAAAGGCCUUCGGGUUGUAAAGUACUUUCAGUCGUGAGGAAGGUGUUAAGGUUAAUAACCUUAGCAAUUGACGUUAGCGACAGAAGAAGCACCGGCUAACUCCGUGCCAGCAGCCGCGGUAAUACGGAGGGUGCGAGCGUUAAUCGGAAUUACUGGGCGUAAAGGGCACGCAGGCGGUUAAUUAAGUUGGAUGUGAAAUCCCCGGGCUUAACCUGGGAAUGGCAUUCAAGACUGGUUAGCUAGAGUCUUGUAGAGGGGGUAGAAUUCCAUGUGUAGCGGUGAAAUGCGUAGAGAUGUGGAGGAAUACCGGUGGCGAAGGCGGCCCCUGGACAAAGACUGACGCUCAUGUGCGAAAGCUGGGGAGCAAAC